UACGAAGGGGGCUAGCGUUGCUCGGAAUCACUGGGCGUAAAGCGCACGUAGGCGGCUUUCUAAGUCAGGGGUGAAAUCCUGGAGCUCAACUCCAGAACUGCCUUUGAUACUGGAGAGCUUGAGUCCGGGAGAGGUGAGUGGAACUCCGAGUGUAGAGGUGAAAUUCGUAGAUAUUCGGAAGAACACCAGUGGCGAAGGCGGCUCACUGGCCCGGUACUGACGCUGAUGUGCGAAAGCGUGGGAGCAAACAGG
rnacentral:rRNA from 1 species